AGGGCACCACCAGGAGUGGAGCCUGCGGCUUAAUUUGACUCAACACGGGGAAACUCACCCGGCCCGGACACCGUAAGGAUUGACAGAUUGAUAGCUUUUUCAUGAUUCGGUGGAUGGUGGUGCAUGGCCGUUCUUAGUUCGUGGAGCGAUUUGUCUGGUUUAUUCCGAUAACGAGCGAGACUCUAGCCUACUAAAUAGUUCGCACAUUGUCUCUGUGUGUGUGACUUCUUAGAGGGAUUUUCGGUGUUCAGCCGCACGAAAUUGAGCAAUAACAGGUCUGUGAUGCCCUUAGAUGUCCGGGGCUGCGCGCGCGCUACACUGGCAAAAUCAGCGUGCUUGUCCUUCCCCGAAAGGGGUUGGUAAACCCUUGAAAAUUUGCCGUGAUUGGGAUUGGAAAUUGCAAUUAUUUUCCAUGAACGAGGAAUUCCAAGUAAGUGCGAGUCAUCAGCUCGCGUUGAUUACGUCCCUGCCCUUUGUACACACCGCCCGUCGCUGCCCGGGACUGAGCCAUUUCGAGAA
rnacentral:rRNA from 1 species